rnacentral:rRNA from 1 species
GACGAACGCUGGCGGCGUGCCUAAUACAUGCAAGUCGAACGCAGAGUUCAUACAUUAGCGUGCUACACCAUGGACUGUGAGGUACGAACGGGUGAGGAACGGGAUGAUAACCGGAAUGGUAGCGGAAGAUAACAAUAGGAAACGAUAGCUAAUACCUCAUAAUAAUAAUUAUUGCAGGAUAGUUAAUGGCAAGUUGCAAAUUCACCACUCACAAAGGGACCUGCGCUGAAUUAGCUAGUAGGUGAGGUAACGGCUCACCAAGGCGACGAUACCUAGCUGGGCUGAGAAGAUGAUCCGGCACACUGGGAGUGAGACACGUACCAGACUCCCACGGGAGGCCGCAGGGGGGAAUAUUGGACAAUGGGCGAAAGAAUGAUGCAGCAAGGUCGCGUGAGUCAUUUAGGCCUUAGGGUUGGAAAGCUCUUUUAACCGGGAAGAUUAUGACGGUACCGGGAGAAUAAGCCCCGGCUAACUCCGUG